GCAAGGCUCAGACAGUUUAGUAGUAUGGGCUCAAUAGCAUCCCAUUAGUGUGCAAUAUCUUGAGAAUCAGAUGUACAUGUGAUGGAAGAAUGCACUGUGCAUGCAGAGGGUUUCAAUUCCAUUGAAUUGGAGAUAUUUUGGUUAAACUAUGCCUCAAGACCUAGAAUUGGCUUUGUGUAUCCCACAAAAAAGGUUCACUGUUAUAAGCUAACUUUAUUGAUGAAUUUAAGCAAAACUCCCAACAUUCUCGGGGUUAACUUCCUAUGGAAAAAGUUUCCCCACCCUUUGCAACCCUAGUCUCCACACACCUAGGCUAUUGAUGUAUUCAAGACAGGGCCAUUUUUAUUGAUCUCAGAUUCUCAGUGUCAAAGUAGGCUGUCAUUUCGAUCAUUUGUCAAAAAUGAUUUCAGAACACAUUUCAUGCAAUUAUAUAAGGAUUCUACUGCUCUAUGCCAGUAUGCAAAAGCAAUGAUAAUGCAUGCAAUACUUUGUUAUAAAGAUUUAUUUUUUUCCCUUCUUGCGUUCCUGUACCUCAGAUCCUCCCCAGGUCACCCCUCCCAGGCUCGCUUUUUGUUCCCGGUACCUCCCAAUUUACAAAUUAAGCACUGAGUAAAUUGGUUAAUAGACCAAUGAUAAAGACAGUUCCAAACCUCUCUGCCAAUAACAGCUAGUUUUCAGUUUUCCACCUUUCCACUCAGACCACUCCCAGAAAGUCCUAGCAAAAUUCUUGUUUGAAAAAUAGUCUUGCUAAAUAGCUAUUUUUUCCCAUUUUAAUGGAAUUCUAUUACAGUAAGCUACUUAAUUGUUACGCAGGCAAUAUUUGAUAUUGAUAUAAAACCGGUUGCAUUGGGCCUUAAGGAAUACAGUACAGUACUGUACCUGUGCCAUCAGGUGUAGACCUCACAAAAGUGGGCAGUAUCUUGACUGCCGCUCGGCGGUUUGUGUGUUUGUCCCGCCUUAUGAUCAGGUCCUUCCUCAGGCGAGACGACACCUCCCGCAGCUUCUCCACAGAGCGACGGAAAGGCUGCAGACACUCUACCAAUGAGAAGGUGAGAUGACACCUCUCCUAAGUCCUCGUCCUACUCAGAGACGGAAAGGCUGGGAGACACUUUCCCCUGCAGAGGAAGGAUGAAACGCAGCGAUAAGGUCACACACAGUGGGUGUACCAUGUGGAAGGUAUCUGCGGAUAUGCAUAUGCUGACGGGGUCUGAGGAAUCCUGGCUAAGUUUGGCCCUCUUGCUGCUCACCUGGGAGGAUAUAGAAUCACUGGAAUGGUACACAUAUGGCAAAGAGCUUAGAUGCUAAUAGCAGUGUUAACUGUACUGUAAUAGCACAUUCCAUGGAUUGAAUCACUUAACUUGAUAUGCUUGUAGUGUUGGCAGAAGAAAGUACACAUUUUCAGCAUACUUUGGAAGGAAAUACUUCAUGCAACAUCAGGUGUAAAUAGCCCUACCAUAUACUUGACAUAAAACAAAAUUAACUCGACAGAACGUACCUAAAUUCACUACAAAAUAAAUUGAAGAACUGUUUACCUGCAAUUGACAA